rfam:Gossypium raimondii Chr08_contig_941, whole genome shotgun sequence.
UAUUAAAAAUUUCUAUCAAUUUUUAUUGUUAAAAACCGAUGUGGCUGAUAGAAUAAUUAGAUAGUUACACGUGGUGUGCCACAUUAUCUCAUUCUAAUGUAUAGGGACCGGCUUUUAACAGAAGACAUGAGUAUAAUUUUUAAUA